rnacentral:rRNA from 1 species
AAUGGCCUAACGGCUGAACCAGCAAUUAGGAAGAAUGUAUAGCGAUAGCUAGUUGUAUGAUAUAUAAUACAAUAUUGACUAAGUUAAAUAAAAUUCUGAGUAAAUUUAGAUAAUGACUUAAUUUACUCACGUGUCUUGACCAAAAUGCGUGCCAGCAGUCGCGGUAAGACGUAUAAGACUAGUGUUAUUCAUCUUUAACAGGUAUAAAGCGUAAUUAGACGGUAAAUCAAGCUGUAAUAAGGACUAAUUUGCUAGAGUUACUUGUAAAGGGGCUUAAAAGUACUAAUGGAGUAGAGAUAAAAUGCUAAUAUACCUUUUUUUAUAGAAUAUUAUGGCACUGGUAAAGGCGAAGGCAUCCCCUUAUGCGAUAACUGACGUUAAAGGACGAAGGCUUAUAAUAUCGAAUAGGAUUAGAUACCCUAGUAGUUUAAGCAGAAAAUGAUGAGUGUCAUAGACUAGAAUAAGUAUAAUUUGCAAAUUAUAAAAUCAAUUAAGGUAAAAAAGAAAAAAAGAUAAUUGAAAGAUUAUAACUUUAGUCUAUAAAUGAAAGUGUAAGCACUCCACCUUAAGACUAAUGUGGCAACACCCAAAUUGAAAUCAUUAGACCGUUUCUGAGNNNNNNNNNNNNNNNNNNNNNNUAAUUUGAUAAUCCGCAAAAAACCUUACCACAACUUGAAUAUUUUUUAUUAUUUUGUACAAGCGCUGCACGGCUGUCUUAAGUUGAUUUCCUGAGAAUUUGGUUAGAUCCAUCUAAUUAACGUAAACCCUCAUUUUACUUUUAUGUAAAAUGGUUCACCAUUAUACAGGUUAAGAUAAUAGGGAAGAAGACAAGUCAUCAUGGCCUGAAUGUUGU